rnacentral:rRNA from 1 species
UCAAGCUACAAAGGGCUCACGGCGGAUACCUUGGCACACAGAGGCGAUGAAGGACGUGGUUACCUGCGAUAAGUCUCGGGGAGCUGGAAGCACGCUUUGAUCCGGGAAUUUCCGAAUGGGGCAACCCUUAAUACGGCCAGCUGAAUCCAUAGGCUGGCACGAGCCAACCCAGCGAACUGAAACAUCUUAGUAGCUGGAGGAAAGGAAAGUAAAAACGACUCCCUAAGUAGCGGCGAGCGAACGGGGAAGAGCCUAAACCGAUACUUUCGAGUAUCGGGGUUGUGGGACAGCAACGUGUAUCAGGGAAGUUAGGAGAAGUGCUUGAAUGGCACGCCACAGAGGGUGAAAGCCCCGUAACCGAAAACUGAACUGAGCUAGCUGUAUCCCGAGUAGCACGGAGCACGUGAAAUUCCGUGUGAAUCCGCGAGGACCACCUCGUAAGGCUAAGUACUACUGUGUGACCGAUAGCGAAACAGUACCGCGAGGGAAAGGUGAAAAGAACCCCGGGAGGGGAGUGAAAUAGAACAUGAAACCGUGAGCCUACAAGCAAUGGGAGCCCUACUUAUAGGGUGACCGUGUGCCUGUUGAAGAAUGAGCCGGCGACUUAUAGGCACUGGCGGGUUAAACCGGAAAUGGUGGAGCCAUAGCGAAAGCGAGUCUGAAUAGGGCGUUUGUCAGUGUUUAUAGACCCGAACCCGGGUGAUCUAACCAUGGCCAGGAUGAAGCUUGGGUGAUACCAAGUGGAGGUCCGAACCGACUGACGUUGAAAAGUCAGCGGAUGAGCUGUGGUUAGGGGUGAAAUGCCAAUCGAACCCGGAGCUAGCUGGUUCUCCCCGAAAUACGUUGAGGCGUAGCGUCUCGUGCUCCAGCAGGGGGGUAAAGCCACCAUUUCGGUGCGGGCUGCGAGAGCGGUACCAAAUCGAGAUGAACUCUGAAUACCCUGUGUGUAGCGAGGCAGUCAGACUGUGGGGGAUAAGCUCCAUGGUCGAGAGGGAAACAGCCCAGACCGCCAGCUAAGGUCCCCAAAUCAACACUAAGUGAUAAAGGAGGUGGGAUUGCAUAGACAACCAGGAGGUUUGCCUAGAAGCAGCCAUCCUCAAAGGAGUGCGUAAUAGCUCACUGGUCGAGCGAUCCUGCGCCGAAAAUGAACGGGGCUAAGUGUUGUACCGAAGCUGCGGAUUUUUAUGGUAGGGGAGCGUUCUAUGUGGGGCGAAGCGUUAGCGUGAGCGGGCGUGGACUGCAUAGAAGUGAGAAUGUCGGCUUGAGUAGCGAAAACAUGGGUGAGAAUCCCAUGCACCGAAACCCUAAGGGUUCCUCCGGCAGGCUCGUCCGCGGAGGGUUAGUCUGGACCUAAGGCGAGGCCGAAAGGCGUAGUCGAUGGAUAACAGGUCAACAUUCCUGUACCGGUCAUGUUUUGGGAAGAGGGACGGAGAAGGCUAGCCAAGCCAGAUGUUGGUUACUGGUUCAAGCGUUCGAGGCGUUGAGGAGCGGUGAAAACGUUCCGAGCUGAGGCGUGAGUACGAGCUGCUACGGCAGCGAAGUUGGUGACGUCAAGCUUCCAAGAAAAGCUCUAUACCCGUUAAGGCAUGACUGCCAGUACCCGAAACCGACACAGGUGGGGUGGUAGAGAAUACCGAGGUGCGCGAGGUAACUCUCUCUAAGGAACUCGGCAAAAUGGCCCCGUAACUUCGGGAGAAGGGGUGCCACCGCAAGGUGGUCGCAGUGAAGAGGCCCUGGCGACUGUUUACCAAAAACACAGGUCUCCGCUAAGUCGCAAGACGAUGUAUGGGGGCUGACGCCUGCCCAGUGCCGGAAGGUUAAGGAAGCCGGUCAGCGUAAGCGAAGCUGGCGACUGAAGCCCCGGUGAACGGCGGCCGUAACUAUAACGGUCCUAAGGUAGCGAAAUUCCUUGUCGGGUAAGUUCCGACCCGCACGAAAGGCGUAACGAUCAGGGCGCUGUCUCGGAGAGAGGCUCGGCGAAAUAGAAUUGUCUGUGAAGAUGCGGACUACGUACACCUGGACAGAAAGACCCUAUGAAGCUUUACUGUAGCUUGGUAUUGUGCCCGGGCUCUGAAUGCGCAGGAUAGGUGGGAGACGUUGAUCUCAUG